ensembl:lncRNA LINC01828 long intergenic non-protein coding RNA 1828
CCAUAAUGUAAGGGUUCACUGCACUGGGGGACAACAGAACAAAGAGAAGCAGCGCCAACCGAAAACGGCCCCAGUGAGAAGCAACAAGUUGUCUCUGAAAAUGUCUCCUCAUCUGCCUUUGAGUGGUAUGGAAUCACUGCUGAGCCUCCACUAUUGGUGCCAUCAAAGACCUCAGUGAUGCCAAGCAAUCCUUUGGAUGGCAGUUCCAAUGUAUGAAGCAAUGGACACAAGGAUCAAAACACACAGUUUUGGAAUAACUGGCCCCCAGUUGGGCUGAACUGCACAAUCAUCAACUUCCCUGUUGACUCUGCCUCUAAAGACAAUAGGUCUUGGGUUCAAGCUCCACGUGGAUCUGUUAGUGCCUUUUUCUGUUUUAUGGCCAGAGAUGCAAAUUACAUCUAUGUUUAUUCCUCUUGCUAUCUAUGUCUUUUAAUGUUUCACACUCUGCAUAGGAAAAGUACUUUGUAACAUCUAAUUCUAGUCCUCCCUGUCACAAUUUAAACCCAUCCCUAUUCUGCGUUGGGGGAGGAC